UCCUGAUUGAGAAAGGGUUUUGGUUUAUUUUUGUGUAACAAUACUCUUAAAUAACCAAGUUUUCCUUGCUUUGCAGUGAGAAGAACCACCUUUGUCUGUUUUGCGUGUUCAGUACCCCAAAUGGCCCCAUCAUGGAGUUCCAAAAAACACUCUUGUAGUGCAGACUGUGUUUACCUGAGUCAAAUGAAUAUAUAUUUGUUGAGGCUAAUGGUGGUUGAAUCAACAGAGUACAUCGAUAUGUAAUGUUGUAGCUGUGGCAGACUACCUCAAUGCAACCCUCAUUAUCCAAAACUUUCACUUUUACAAGAUGAUACCCUAGCCAUUGUCAAGGGAUUUGCUACCGCUGUUACGGUCCCAGAGACCGCACUUAUUCUUCCAAGUAAUGCCGGACGAAGAUCCUCGAUGAGGUACUUAACGAAGAUAACAUCAAGUGCACUCAUAAGGAUGUACAUUUUUUUUAAAUGUUUACUCUUUUUGGAAUUAAAUUACUUUAGUUGCUUAUAUAAUUCAUAUAUAUCAUUGGAAACACAUUGCAGUAGGUUUGGUGCCUCUGAUUGCUUCCUCUGUGAUUUUUCACUCGAUGAGCUUGGUCGUUCAUAAUUGUAUUUGUUAGUUGACCUUAGGAUAGUACUGCAGUUUGAUACCAUAUCUAUUUAUUCACGUAUUA